rnacentral:rRNA from 1 species
UACGUAGGGUGCAAGCGUUAAUCGGAAUUACUGGGCGUAAAGCGUGCGCAGGCGGUGAUGUAAGACAGUUGUGAAAUCCCCGGGCUCAACCUGGGAACUGCAUCUGUGACUGCAUUGCUGGAGUGCGGCAGAGGGGGGAUGGAAUUCCGCGUGUAGCAGUGAAAUGCGUAGAUAUGCGGAGGAACACCGAUGGCGAAGGCAAUCCCCCUGGGCC